GUCCUCCCUGUUGGUAGGAUAAAUUCUCAGUCAUAACAGGACAUACCAUUUCAACUCAUCUUUAUGGUGCAGAGAAUACUUUACUUGGAUCCUACUGGAUUAGAAAUCAUUGACAGAAUUUAAUUGAAAAAUGCUUUUUGGCCUGAGAGGACACGUCAGGGGCCUGGUGCAAGUGAAGCUGGCCCGACAAGAUCACAGAUCGAAUUUACACUGGAAACCAGCUAAGGAUAAGAUUGGACCAGGGCAAACAGUGUUCGCCAUGUCUGUCUUUGCAUUUGCUCUUCUGGUCCCAGCGGGUUGGAUCAUGCAUCAUAUCCCAGUUUAUCGGCAAAGACCACCUCCACAAGUCUGACCUCACAGUCAAUCUGCAUCUGAUCAGUUCUGCAACUGUACUGCUCACUGAAAUGAACAAAUCUAAAUGUGUUGGUAAUGUGCUGUUUUGCAAUCCUCUUUUCCAAAAAGAAUGUGAAUGUAAUGUAAUGAAUGAUUAGUUAAAAUGAAAUUCCAGAUUUUUCAAAAAAUUCCUCCAGAUUUCAGUCAUUGAGAUUCAGAAUGGAUUUAUGUGAAAUGGUUCAUUGUGAAACUUAAAACUUAAAACUCCAUGGAGUAAUAAGCAAUUUAACUGGUUUAAUCCAACUUAAAUUAAUGCUUUGACUGAAACAAUGCAAAGCAAAAUAUAUAAGUUAAACGAACACAAGCACUAUUUUACAUCAGUUCAAACCUUAAAAACACUUCAAAUCACUUUUUCCAUGUUCCACUUUGUAAUGUGUAACAUUCAUGCUGUUCAUCAAAAUAAAUGACAUAACCUGAA